rnacentral:rRNA from 1 species
GCGGCGAACGGGUGAGUAACAUGUUGGAAUCUGCCUUUAAGUCGGGGAUAGCUCAUCGAAAGAUGGAUUAAUACCGGAUAGUCUCUUCGGAGUAAAGAUUUAUCGCUUAAAGAGGAGCCUGCAUUCUAUCAGCUUGUUGGUGAGGUAAUAGCUCACCAAGGCUAUGACGGAUAACUGGUCUGAGAGGAUGAUCAGUCACAAUGGAACUGAGACAAGGUCCAUACUCC